rnacentral:rRNA from 1 species
UGCCAGAGCCGCGGUAACACGAACCGUACAAUCGUUAUUCGGAAUUAUUGGGCCUAAAGGGUUCGUAGGCGGCGCUGUAAGUCGGGUGUGAAAGCCCACGGCUCAACCGUGGAAUUGCGCCCGAUACUGCAGUGCUUGAGGGAGACAGGGGUGAGUGGAACUGAUGGUGGAGCGGUGAAAUGCGUUGAUAUCAUCAGGAACACCGGUGGCGAAAGCGGCUCACUGGGUCUCUUCUGACGCUGAGGCACGAAAGCCAGGGUAGCGAGCAGGAUUAGAUA